rnacentral:ncRNA from 2 species
GGCUUUUGACUGACUGGAUGUGGGAAUGUUGUGGAAGACUUCUGGCCUGCCAUUUCCUGAGAACGGGACUGCUGAGAGAGGAGCUGGGAGGAGCACUGCAAAUUUCACUUUGGACACGUGAGUCAGAGAAAUCUGCCUCCUGGGCCAUGCCGCUUCUAAGGCCUGUUUCUUCUCAUGAGCCCCAGCACAAGACAGAUGGGCCAGUUCUCACAGUGGAUAACUUCCCCUGCCUGAGCAAGAGAUGGGAUAGUAUCUGGGAUCUGUCCAUCACCAGACUCUGAGCUUAAUAAGGCAGCUGAAUGAAGGGAGGUAACGGACCCCUGAGAGGGGCACUGAAGUCUGCAGUGGGGGGGGAG